GAACGAACGCUGGCGGCGUGGAUAAGACAUGCAAGUCGAACGGGAUCAGUUGAGUAGCAAUACGAGGCUGGUCUAGUGGCGAACGGGUGCGUAACACGUGGAUACAUUCCGGGAAGCGGGGGAUAGCCCAUGGAAACGUGGAUUAAUACCGCAUGUGGUCGAGAGACCAAAGACGGGGACCGCAAGGCCUGUCACUUCCCGAUUGGUCCGCGGCCUAUCAGCUAGUUGGCGGGGUAAAAGCCCACCAAGGCGACGACGGGUAGCUGGUCUGAGAGGACGACCAGCCACACUGGGACUGAGACACGGCCCAGACACCUACGGGUGGCAGCAGUCGAGAAUCUUUCACAAUGGGGGCAACCCUGAUGGAGCGACGCCGCGUGGAGGAUAAGGUCUUCGGAUUGUAAACUCCUGUCAUGCGAGAACAAGGCUGCGGGGUUAAUAGCUCAUGCAGAUUGAUGGUACCGCAAGAGGAAGAGACGGCUAACUCUGUGCCAGCAGCCGCGGUAAUACAGAGGUCUCAAGCGUUGUUCGGAAUCACUGGGCGUAAAGGGUGCGUAGGUGGCGUGGUAAGUCAGAUGUGAAAGCCCGGGGCUCAACUCCGGAACUGCAUCCGAUACUGCCGUGCUAGAGCACUGAAGAGGUGACCGGAAUUCUCGGUGUAGCAGUGAAAUGCGUGGAUAUCGAGAGGAACACCAAAGGCGAAGGCAGGUCACUGGGCAGUUGCUGACACUGAGGCACGAAGGCCAGGGUAGCGAACGGGAUUAGAUACCCCGGUAGUCCUGGCAGUAAACGGUGCACGC
rnacentral:rRNA from 1 species